UACGGGGGGGGCAAGCGUUGUUCGGAAUUACUGGGCGUCAAGGGCUCGUAGGCGGCCAACUAAGUCGGACGUGAAAUCCCUCGGCUUAACCGGGGAACUGCGUCCGAUACUGGAUGGCUUGAGUUCGGGAGAGGGAUGCGGAAUUCCAGGUGUAGCGGUGAAAUGCGUAGAUAUCUGGAGGAACACCGGUGGCGAAGGCGGCAUCCUGGACCGACACUGACGCUGAGGAGCGAAAGCCAGGGGAGCAAACGGG
rnacentral:rRNA from 1 species